rnacentral:lncRNA from 1 species
AUGCCACAGAACACAAGGGCAGAAAUUCCUGGAACAGCGCCUCCACCUGAAGGGCAUGUCUCUAGUGUCUGGGGCCACCUAAAGGUCAAAACUGAGAAUAACAGUUACAUUAACUUUUACCGCCUGCAUUGUGAUGCACACCUUCCAUGCCUUAUUCCAUGUAGUUCUCACAACAGCCUGAAAGGGACAGGUUUCCUGAGCCUCAUUUUACAGAGGAGGAAAUCCAGGCUUGGUGACAUUGAUAAACUUGCUCGUGAUGCCAGUUUUCUGGUGGCAGAGCCUGUAUUUACACCCAGGCUAUCUGACUCCACAGCCCCUGCCUUUAGCUGCUCUGCUCUGGAGCCUGAAGGGGAGAAGGUGUGGGUUUUCACCGAAAUGAGGGAAAGACAGAAGACAGAGGAGAAGGUGAGCCAGGUUAUUGAGCUAUUGAGAAGCCUGUGCAGCUAUUCUCAAUAUCCUGUUUCACUGAGGGCUCUCCAGCUGAGGCCUACAGACUGAUGUGCUCCCUGGCCAGUGCUCCUCCAGGUCCCAAGACCACAAUAAGCAGAAGAUGCAGACCCCAAAUGAAGACCUCUCAAGCUUCUUCCCAGAGCAUCUGGCCCUGGCAGCAUGGAGGACUUAGCUGGGCCUCAAUGGCCUCAGGGGGCCAUACCAUAACUGCCCUUCUCUGGGGUCAGGGAUGGAAUCAGCUAAGGAGAGAUGGCAAAAGGGUACUGGAUAGGGGUGGGGCAAGACUAAAGUAAGAUUGAAAAAGAAAAAAAAAAGUACCAUUAGAUACAUCCACACAGCAGAUCGUUUGACUUGGAAAACAGAUACAAACAUUCCUGUGAGCCUCAGCCACACUAUUUAGGUAAAAAAAACUCCUUACUAUAUUGUGAGUCCCUUAAACAGGGCUCAAGAAGGACUUCUACUAACAAGUCUGCAUUCAUAAAUGUGACAACUUGGAAGCACUGAACAAGCUCCCUGAAAACCACAAACUACAAAAACAAAAACAAAAAAAUAAAAUGAUCUGAAGAGUCA